rnacentral:tRNA from 1 species
GCAGAAUUCGCCUAGUUGGUCGAGGGCGCACGAUUGGAAAUCGUGUAACCUGUAACAGGGUUCCAGAGUUCGAAUCUCUGAUUCUGCGCCA